rnacentral:rRNA from 1 species
GUGCCAGCAGCCGCGGUAACACGUAGGGUCCGAGCGUUGUCCGGAAUUACUGGGCGUAAAGCGCGCGCAGGCGGUCCGGUCAGUCGAUGGUGAAAGCCCCACGCUCAACGUGGGAAGGUCCGUCGAGACGGCCGGACUGGAGGCAGGGAGAGGCCGGUGGAAUUCCGGGUGUAGUGGUGAAAUGCGUAGAGAUCCGGAGGAACACCAGAGGCGAAGGCGGCCGGCUGGACCUGACCUGACGCUGAGGCGCGAAGGCGUGGGGAGCGAACGGGAUUAGAAACCCUCGUAGUCC